rnacentral:rRNA from 1 species
AGCAGUCGCCGCGGUAAUACAGAGGGUGCUAGCGCUAAUCGGAUUUACUGGGCGUAAAGCGUGCGUAGGCGGUUCGUUAAGUCGGUUGUGAAAGCCCUGGGCUCAACCUGGGAAUUGCAGUCGAUACUGGCGAUCUAGAGAACGGUAGAGGGAGGCGGAACUCCAGGUGUAGCGGUGAAAUGCGUAGAUAUCUGGAAGAACACCGAUGGCGAAGGCAACCUCCUGGGCCUGUUCUGACGCUGAGGCACGAAAGCGUGGGUAGCAAACAGGAUUAGAUACCCGCGUAGUCCCUGUCUCUUAUAC